AUUGAACGCUGGCGGCAUGCUUUACACAUGCAAGUCGAACGGCAGCACGGGGCAACCUGGUGGCGAGUGGCGAACGGGUGAGUAAUACAUCGGAACGUGCCCAAUCGUGGGGGGAUAACGUAGCGAAAGUUACGCUAAUACCGCAUACGAUCUACGGAUGAAAGCGGGGGAUCGCAAGACCUCGCGCGAAUGGAGCGGCCGAUGUCAGAUUAGGUAGUUGGUGGGGUAAAGGCUCACCAAGCCAACGAUCUGUAGCUGGUCUGAGAGGACGACCAGCCACACUGGAACUGAGACACGGUCCAGACUCCUACGGGAGGCAGCAGUGGGGAAUUUUGGACAAUGGGCGCAAGCCUGAUCCAGCCAUGCCGCGUGAGUGAAGAAGGCC
rnacentral:rRNA from 1 species